rnacentral:tRNA from 1 species
ACUUGAAUAUCUUAAGUUUUAAAGUAUAACCCUGAAGAGGUUAUUAUAGGUGUAUACCUUUCAAGUA